AAACAACAAAAAAGAAGAGUAUCAGCAUGCUGCCCGCUUCCGGCACCUUCCCACUCGUGGGAAUGUUCUAAUCUCUAGGCAGCACUGUAAUCCUGCUGAAUCCAGGGUUUUAAUGAGUCUCCUAUCAAAUCUACCGGAAGGAAAACCAAGGUAAUCUGGGCCACUCUCCCUGGAUUUACACCUAAGUCAAAGCAGCUUUUAACUACUCUGGAUUUAGUUUUGGCUGUAUCUCUGAACAAACAGGAUAUCAAGAUGAGCAACAACUCAAAUUGCAGUGCUCCAAUGUCUGGAAAUUAUAACUAUGCAGCAUCAGGAAGCAAAAACAACAACAGAAGAAGGCCAGACUUCUCUGAGCAGUUUGGGUGGCCAAGGAGAGCAGAGAUAUUUUUUGAAAGUCUUUGUUUCAGACAACUUCCAGCCACGGCUUGGUUUACAUUGUGCUGAAGUCUCUUAUGCCUGCCUGGAAUUCACAUGCAACUGAUACCAGUAAUUUACAAUAGCUCUUUGACAUAGUUUGAGAUGCAGUGUCAGCCCAUUAGCUGUCUGUAUGAAGCAACAGUAGCAAGAUGGCAGCCAGACAAGAACCAGAGUAAGAAAACCAUUUGAGUUGAAUCUUGGCUCCAACAAAGCACGAUUCUCAUCAACUUCAACAGGGCCAUAAUUUAACUGCAAGCCACUCUUGGAAGUGAGACAAGAGGGAGUAUGUGGUAAAGCGAACGUAGGAGGAGUGGAAUGUAGAGGGGAGAAGGAAGCAUCCACUCGAGGAUCUUCUAACAACUGCAUUGAUCAGAGGAUGCUUUCAGAGCUAUUGAAAAGUCACACAAGGUCUACUAAACCCACUUUUGUUGUUGAGAGCUCUCACAGGGUCUUUAUAAUUCAGUGCCAAUUAGGGCAAAAGAAAAUCCUGGACAUCAAAAAACCCCACUCUUCACAUUAGAUGAUGGCAAUUGUUUAGUUCCAAUCGUUUUCUUAACUAGUUCUCCAAGCCUUACUCUGCAGCUCUGGGAAAGCUGACUGAGUCAAGCCAUGCAGCACACAAAGGAAAAGUUGUGCAGUGCAGGAACUGAAGUGACCUACAGAUGGAUAAGUGACAGCAAAGCUGAAGCAGGAAUGCAGAUCAGGAACAUAUGCAAGAACAUGUCUGCACUUGGUCAAAUGCACUGCUGAGAAAUGAGGCAAGUUCGUCUGAAGACAAUUGUGCUUCCAGAACAUGAAAGCAAAGAAAGGGUUCAUUGUGUAGCUUUGGAAAUGCAGUUGUUUCAUGAAAAAAGAUGAGCUCUAAUAAUAGUAAAAGUGGCAGAGACCCAGUCUGAAAAAACUCUCAGAUCCCACUAUAAACAGGACUUUCAUUUUGAAUUCAGGCAUCUUCCAUUUUUAAUAGAAAUACAUUUUAAUACUGCUGCUGCAGCAUCUACUUUUUUCUCCUCCCUGUAACACUCUCUAUCCAAGCAAUCUCCCAGCCACUGCUCUGUGACUGGGGUAGAGUCUGAAAUCACAGGUACUGCAACGGUGCCAAAUGAGGCUGGUUGUGGCUAUCCCUGACAGGCCACAUGAUUCAUCUCAAGUGACAACUGCUUUUCUGGAACGAAGAAUUAAUAGGACAUCCCAUGCAUAUUUUAAAAAAAUAUAAGGAGCAGAUCUGCACAGAGAAGUUCCCAAGCUAUGCACUCUCAGCAAUUAAAACAUAAAAGCACAGUACUGUGCACACUUGUGCAAGGCCUUUCUUCAUUCCUGCCUGGCAUUCCAAAGCACACUUCGAGAGGCUGCCAUAAGAUUUCUCUAAGAUGGACCACAGUGCUGCUGCUUCCUUGCUGAAGGAAAAGGCCUGUUGUGUCAACAAAAGCUUUAUGAGUUCAGAUUCACACUCUCGCCUGUGGCUUUUACCACACACACUGUUAAGGCCCUAGGUUGAAACAGAGCUGAUUUUGCCCACCUCCUUCGGUAACAGUAGGCAAAAAGCAGAACAGCUCAUGUGCCAAGAGACCCUGAAAGGCUUCCUCUAGCCACAGGAAAAGCUUAGCAGAAUGCUUCUGAAACCAACCAGAGACAUUCCAGGAGCAAGAUCCCCACCCCUGACUUUCAGCCAGCUCUACCAGGUGGUGUCUGGUAAAUAUUUUUUCAGCCCCUCCGUAUAAACCCCCAGACAUCCAACUUCCAAGGAAGAGCUUGUAGUAACCCCUAUUUCUCAUCUACAGUCAUUAGAUGGAUAUUAAUGUCAAGUCUUGUGCAGAUUUUAAGGGUUUUUUUUCUUUUUUUAAGGCAGUACAUUCAGUUUUGAGAAGUAUUUCGUUUAUAGAGAGGUCGUUAGGGGAAUAAGACUUAGGCUUUUGAAUAUUACUCCUAAUUAAAAAGAACAAAACAAGACCAAAAAUCCCAACAAAGAAACCUGAAGAAAUCCCUUGGCUUUUACCCUCCCAAAGGAGAAAGAAGGCAUUAACAGCAUCUAUUUUUAGGCAUCAGACUGUUGGUGCCUAGGUGAGCAAGCUCCUCACCCUCUGCAGGCAAUGUGAGUGAGACAGGCUGCAGCAGAGCCUGCAGGAACUGCUCCAAAUUGUUUUGGGGAGAGCUUUUCCCUCUCCUCUUGCGCUAACUCACAGCAAGCUGGUGAGGCUCCCAGAGGCCUUUCAGUGCCUGGGACACAGAGGUGUCAGAACUAAAUAAGCCA